CACACCCCCCGUCACACCAUGGGAGUUUGCUGCACCAGAAGCAGGUAGCCUAACCGCAAGGGGGGCGCUUGCCACGGUCGUGGCCGAUGACUGGGGUG
rnacentral:rRNA from 1 species